rnacentral:rRNA from 1 species
CAGUAGCCGCGGUAAUACGAAGGGGGCUAGCGUUGUUCGGAAUUACUGGGCGUAAAGGGCGCGUAGGCGGCCAUUCAAGUUAGAUGUGAAAGCCCUGGGCUCAACCUAGGAAUUGCAUUUGAUACUGUUUGGCUUGAGUUCGGGAGAGGUGAGUGGAAUUCCCAGUGUAGAGGUGAAAUUCGUAGAUAUUGGGAAGAACACCAGUGGCGAAAGCGGCUCACUGGACCAUUUCUGACGCUGAUGCACGAAAGCUAGGGGAGCAAACAGGAUUAGAUACCCGCGUAGUCCCUGUCUCUUAUAU